UGGGGAAUCUUCCGCAAUGGGCGAAAGCCUGACGGAGCAACGCCGCGUGAUCGAAUGAAGGCCUUCGGGUUGUAAAGAUCUGUUGACAGGGACGAAUAAGCAAUGCGAAUAGUUUUGUGUAUGACGGUACCUGUUUAGAAAGCUCCGGCUAACUACGUGCCAGCAGCCGCGGUAAUACGUAGGGAGCAAGCGUUGUCCGGAAUUACUGGGCGUAAAGGGCGCGUAGGUGGGCGCUUAAGUCAGGUGUGAAAACUCCGGGCUCAACCUGGAGACUGCACUUGAAACUGGGUGUCUUGAGGGCAG
rnacentral:rRNA from 1 species